rnacentral:rRNA from 1 species
GAUGAACGCUAGCUACAGGCUUAACACAUGCAAGUCGAGGGACCGGCGCACGGGUGAGUAACACGUAUCCAACCUGCCCUUUACUCGGGGAUAGCCUUUCGACAGAAAGAUUAAUACCCGAUAUAAAGGAUGGUGAUGCGUUCCAUUAGGUUGUUGGUGAGGUAACGGCUCACCAAGCCUUCGAUGGAUAGGGGUUCGGAGAGGAAGGUCCCCCACAUUGGAACUGAGGCACAGUCCAAACUCCUACGGGGGGCAGGAGUAAGGAAUACUAGGCAAUGAGCGCUAGCCGGAACCAGCCGAGUAGCGGGAAGGAUGAAGGCUUAUGGAUCGUAAACUUCUUUUAAAGAAGAAGAUGUAUUAUAUGAAUAAGGAUCGGCUAACUCCGUGCCAGCAGCCGCGGUAAUUC